AUACGGAGGGUGCAAGCGUUACUCGGAAUCACUGGGCGUAAAGCGCGCGCAGGCGGCUAUUUAAGUUGGAUGUGAAAGCCUACGGCUCAACCGUAGAACUGCAUCCAAAACUAUUUAGCUAGAGUGUGGGAGAGGAAGAUGGAAUUAGUUGUGUAGGGGUAAAAUCCGUAGAGAUAACUAGGAAUACCAAAAGCGAAGGCAAUCUUCUGGAACACUUCUGACGCUGAGGCGCGAAAGCGUGGGGAGCAAACAGGAUUAGAAACCCCAGUAGUCC
rnacentral:rRNA from 1 species